AAUCAACGCUGGCGGCGUGCCUAACACAUGCAAGUCGCACGAGAAAGGGACUUCGGUCCUGAGUACAGUGGCGCACGGGUGAGUAACACGUGAAUCAUCUACCUUCGAGUGGGGAAUAACUGAGAGAAAUCUUAGCUAAUACCGCAUAAUACCUACGGGUCAAAGCAGCAAUGCGCUUGAAGAGGAGUUCGCGGCAGAUUAGUUAGUUGGCGGGGUAAUGGCCCACCAAGACGAUGAUCUGUAUCCGGCCUGAGAGGGCGCACGGACACACUGGAACUGAAACACGGUCCAGACUCCUACGGGAGGCAGCAGUGGGGAAUUUUGCGCAAUGGGGGAAACCCUGACGCAGCAACGCCGCGUGGAGGAUGAAAUCCCUUGGGAUGUAAACUCCUUUCGAUCGGGAAGAUAAUGACGGUACCGAGAGAAGAAGCCCCGGCUAACUUCGUGCCAGCAGCCGCCGCCGU
rnacentral:rRNA from 1 species